AAGACUAUACUUUCAGGGAUCAUUUCUAUAGUUCGUUACUAGAGAAGUUUCUCUGAUCGUGUAGAACACCGUGAAAAGGGAACCCUCCUACACUGUUGGUG
ensembl:snoRNA U3 Small nucleolar RNA U3